UCAUGACUGGGGUGAAGUCGUAACAAGGUAGCCGUAGGGGAACCUGCGGCUGGAUCACCUCCUUAAU
rnacentral:rRNA from 1 species